GUUUGAUAUAUAAUAAAAAAAAAAAAAAAAAAGAAAACAGUUUAAAUACAGUUUUGGACCUUUCCUUUUAAUAUGUAUUAGGCAUUUAUAGAUUAGUGGAGAUUAUCGUUUAGGUAAACAUCAAAAUGUAAAAACUCUCACCCAUUUUUUAACCGAAGAACAUAAUAUUUUUAUAACAGUUUUGCCGUUUCGACUUGACGUCAAAAUGUGUAAAUAGAUCAGAUUUGCUGUUAAUUUUUGAUUAAUUAUUUUUCUUUCACUUUUUAUUCGCUUAGCUAGUCACAUGCUAAGAUUAAACAAAAUGCUACAGUAUACGUUUACUGCUCUAAGUAUGUUGAAUUUAACAGUGAUAACAAGUCUAAUAUACUUUGAUAGUAC